AGGUAAGCUACUAAGAGCGAAUGGUGGAUGCCUUGACUGGUAAAGGCGAUGAAGGACGUACUAGACUGCGAUAAGCUACGGGGAGCUGUCAAGAAGCUUUGAUCCGUAGAUUUCCGAAUGGGGCAACCCAAUGUAUAGAGAUAUACAUUACCUAUAUAGGAGCGAACGAGGGGAAUUGAAACAUCUUAGUACCCUCAGGAAAAGAAAUCAAUAGAGAUUGCGUCAGUAGCGGCGAGCGAAAGCGCAAGAGGGCAAACCCAGUGCUUGCACUGGGGGUUGUAGGACUGCAAUGUGCAAGAGGUAAGUUUAGCAGAACAUUCUGGAAAGUAUAACCAUAGAGGGUGAUAGUCCCGUAUGCGAAAAACAAACCUUAGCUAGCAGUAUCCUGAGUAGGGCGGGACACGAGGAAUCCUGUCUGAAUCUGGGUCGACCACGAUCCAACCCUAAAUACUAAUACCAGAUCGAUAGUGCACAAGUACCGUGAGGGAAAGGUGAAAAGAACUGAGGUGAUCAGAGUGAAAUAGAACCUGAAACCAUUUGCUUACAAUCAUUCAGAGCCCUAUGUAGCAAUACAGGGUGAUGGACUGCCUUUUGCAUAAUGAGCCUGCGAGUUGUGGUGUCUGGCAAGGUUAAGCAAACGCGAAGCCGUAGCGAAAGCGAGUCUGAAUAGGGCGCUUAGUCAGAUGCUGCAGACCCGAAACGAAGUGAUCUAUCCAUGAGCAAGUUGAAGCUAGUGUAAGAACUAGUGGAGGACUGAACCCAUAGGCGUUGAAAAGCCCCGGGAUGACUUGUGGAUAGGGGUGAAAGGCCAAUCAAACUUCGUGAUAGCUGGUUCUCUCCGAAAUAUAUUUAGGUAUAGCGUUGUGUCGUAAUAUAAGGGGGUAGAGCACUGAAUGGGCUAGGGCAUACACCAAUGUACCAAACCCUAUCAAACUCCGAAUACCUUAUAUGUAAUCACAGCAGUCAGGCGGCGAGUGAUAAAAUCCGUCGUCAAGAGGGAAACAACCCAGACUACCAGCUAAGGUCCCUAAAUCUUACUUAAGUGGAAAACGAUGUGAAGUUACUUAAACAACCAGGAGGUUGGCUUAGAAGCAGCCAUCCUUUAAAGAAAGCGUAAUAGCUCACUGGUCUAGUGAUUUUGCGCGGAAAAUAUAACGGGGCUAAAGUAAGUACCGAAGCUGUAGACUUAGUUUACUAAGUGGUAGGAGAGCGUUCUAUUUGCGUCGAAGGUAUACCGGUAAGGAGUGCUGGAGCGAAUAGAAGUGAGCAUGCAGGCAUGAGUAGCGAUAAUUAAUGUGAGAAUCAUUAACGCCGUAAACCCAAGGUUUCCUACGCGAUGCUCGUCAUCGUAGGGUUAGUCGGGUCCUAAGUCGAGUCCGAAAGGGGUAGACGAUGGCAAAUUGGUUAAUAUUCCAAUACCAACAUUAGUGUGCGAUGGAAGGACGCUUAGGGCUAAGGGGGCUAGCGGAUGGAAGUGCUAGUCUAAGGUCGUAGGAGGUUAUACAGGCAAAUCCGUAUAACAAUACUCCGAGAACUGAAAGGCUUUUUGAAGUCUUCGGAUGGAUAGAAGAACCCCUGAUGCCGUCGAGCCAAGAAAAGUUUCUAAGUUUAGCUAAUGUUGCCCGUACCGUAAACCGACACAGGUGGGUGGGAUGAGUAUUCUAAGGCGCGUGGAAGAACUCUCUUUAAGGAACUCUGCAAAAUAGCACCGUAUCUUCGGUAUAAGGUGUGGUUAGCUUUGUAUUAGGAUUUACUCCGAAAGCAAGGAAACUUACAACAAAGAGUCCCUCCCGACUGUUUACCAAAAACACAGCACUCUGCUAACUCGUAAGAGGAUGUAUAGGGUGUGACGCCUGCCCGGUGCUCGAAGGUUAAUUGAUGGGGUUAGCAUUAGCGAAGCUCUUGAUCGAAGCCCGAGUAAACGGCGGCCGUAACUAUAACGGUCCUAAGGUAGCGAAAUUCCUUGUCGGUUAAAUACCGACCUGCAUGAAUGGCGUAACGAGAUGGGAGCUGUCUCAAAGAGGGAUCCAGUGAAAUUGUAGUGGAGGUGAAAAUUCCUCCUACCCGCGGCAAGACGGAAAGACCCCGUGGACCUUUACUACAGCUUGACACUGCUACUUGGAUAAGAAUGUGCAGGAUAGGUGGGAGGCUUUGAGUAUAUGACGCCAGUUGUAUAUGAGCCAUUGUUGAGAUACCACUCUUUCUUAUUUGGGUAGCUAACCAGCUUGAGUUAUCCUCAAGUGGGACAAUGUCUGGUGGGUAGUUUGACUGGGGCGGUCGCCUCCCAAAUAAUAACGGAGGCUUACAAAGGUUGGCUCAGAACGG
rnacentral:rRNA from 1 species